CCUACGGGAGGCAGCAGUGGGGAAUUUUGGACAAUGGGCGCAAGCCUGAUCCAGCCAUGCCGCGUGCGGGAAGAAGGCCUUCGGGUUGUAAACCGCUUUUGUCAGGGAAGAAAAGGUUCUGGUUAAUACCUGGGACUCAUGACGGUACCUGAAGAAUAAGCACCGGCUAACUACGUGCCAGCAGCCGCGGUAAUACGUAGGGUGCAAGCGUUAAUCGGAAUUACUGGGCGUAAAGCGUGCGCAGGCGGUUAUGCAAGACAGAGGUGAAAUCCCCGGGCUCAACCUGGGAACUGCCUUUGUGACUGCAUAGCUAGAGUGCGGCAGAGGGGGAUGGAAUUCCGCGUGUAGCAGUGAAAUGCGUAGAUAUGCGGAGGAACACCGAUGGCGAAGGCAAUCCCCUGGGCCUGCACUGACGCUCAUGCACGAAAGCGUAGGGGAGCAAACAGGAUUAGAUACCCUGGUAGUCCACGCCCUAAACGAUGUCAACUGGUUGUUGGGAGGGUUUCUUCUCAGUAACGUAGCUAACGCGUGAAGUUGACCGCCUGGGGAGUACGGCCGCGAAGGUUGAAACUCGAAUGAAUUGACGG
rnacentral:rRNA from 1 species